ACCUAAUUCUUUUCAUUUGUUGGAGCCGUCAAGAAAAAAAAAACAAGGGAUUUUUUUCUCCCACCAUCUCUCCUCUCUCGGGCUCUCUCUCCUCGCCGACCUUGUGUCUUCUAGCCGGACUCUCUCUCCCGCCUCUCCUCUCUGCCGCCAUGUCAUCUCUCCUCGUCGCCAGCUUCCUCUCUCUCACACACAGCCGGAUCUACUUUAUCUCACGCCCCACACCAACAUGGUUGGAGGAAGCAAGGCAUGAUGAGGCCGGAGCCACACUUCCAUGGAAGGUGAAGGAUUGAGAAGAAGCUUGAUGGUUAAGGAGACAGGGCCGGUGGUGGUGCGGCUGUGGUUGUGGUGCGGCUCUGGUGGUGGUGCGGCGGAGGAGGCAAAGAGUCGGCUGAUUUAUUUUCUAGGGUUAAUUUUUUUUUAGAAUUAGGUUUGGUUAAGUUUAGUUAGGUUAGCUUAAUUAGGUUUAGUUAAACCGGUUUAUUUAACUAAACCAGUUUAUUAUAAUUUUUUUAGGCUUUUAAUAUAUUCAUGUAUUUAAAUAUGUAUCUGUAUGUAUAUAUAUUUCGUUAUAUAUAUUUAUUUACAUUUUU